AUUGAACGCUGGCGGCAGGCUUAACACAUGCAAGUCGAGCGGGGUGAUGGUGCUUGCACUAUCACUUAGCGGCGGACGGGUGAGUAAUGCUUAGGAAUCUGCCUAUUAGUGGGGGACAACAUCUCGAAAGGGAUGCUAAUACCGCAUACGUCCUACGGGAGAAAGCAGGGGAUCACUUGUGACCUUGCGCUAAUAGACGAGCCUAAGUCGGAUUAGCUAGUUGGUGGGGUAAAGGCCUACCAAGGCGACGAUCUGUAGCGGGUCUGAGAGGAUGAUCCGCCACACUGGGACUGAGACACGGCCCAGACUCCUACGGGAGGCAGCUGUGGGGAAUAUUGGACAAUGGGGGGAACCCUGAUCCAGCCAUGCCGCGUGUGUGAAGAAGGCCUUAUGGUUGUAAAGCACUUUAAGCGAGGAGGAGGCUCUUUUGGUUAAUACCCAAGAUGAGUGGACGUUACUCGCAGAAUAAGCACCGGCUAACUCUGUGCCAGCCGCCGCAGUAA
rnacentral:rRNA from 1 species